ensembl:snRNA U6 U6 spliceosomal RNA
GCUUACUUCGGCAGCUAAAAUUGGAAGGAUCCAGAGAACGUUAGCAUGGCCUCUGGGCAAGGAUGACAUACAAAUUCGUGAAGUCCCCCGUAUGUUU